ACGGGUGCGUAACGCGUAUGCAUUCUGCCUUUCACAGACGGAUAUCCCAUAGAAAUUUGGAUUAAUACCUCAUAGUAUUACGACUCGGCAUCUAGAUGUAAUUAAAGUCACAACGGUGAAAGAUGAGCAUGCGUCCCAUUAGCUAGUUGGUAAGGUAACGGCUUACCAAGGCAACGAUGGGUAGGGGUCCUGAGAGGGAGAUCCCCCACACUGGUACUGAGACACGGACCAGACUCCUACGGGAGGCAGCAGUGAGGAAUAUUGGACAAUGGGCGCAAGCCUGAUCCAGCCAUGCCGCGUGCAGGAUGACGGUCCUAUGGAUUGUAAACUGCUUUUGUACGAGAAGAAACAUCCCGACGUGUCGGGACUUGACGGUAUCGUAAGAAUAAGGAUCGGCUAACUCCGUGCCAGCAGCCGCGGUAAUACGGAGGAUCCAAGCGUUAUCCGGAAUCAUUGGGUUUAAAGGGUCCGUAGGCGGUUUAGUAAGUCAGUGGUGAAAGCCCAUCGCUCAACGGUGGAACGGCCAUUGAUACUGCUGAACUUGAAUUACUGGGAAGUAACUAGAAUAUGUAGUGUAGCGGUGAAAUGCUUAG
rnacentral:rRNA from 1 species